ensembl:lncRNA novel transcript
CCACUGCUGACCGCAGCACGCCCCUCACAGACCGUGCUGGGCGAUGGCUUCCUCCAGCCUGCUCCAGGGGCUGCCCCCGACCCCCCAGCACCGCUCAUGGACACAGGCAGCACCAGGGCGGCCGGAGACAGGCCCCCCAGUGCCCCCGGCCGUGCACCGGAGGUGGGACCUUCAGGGCCACCCUUGCCCUCGGGCCUGCGAGACCCAGAGUGCAGGCCCGUGGACAAGGACAGAAAGGUCUGCAGGGAGCCACUGGUAGACGGCCCAGCUCCUGCAGAUGCACCUCGGGAGCCCUGCUCAGCCCAGGACCCGCACCCCCAGGUCUCCACUGCCAGCAGCACCCUGGGCCCCCACUCGCCAGAGCCACUGGGGGUCUGCAGGAACCCCCCGCCCCCCUGCUCCCCAAUGCUGGAGGCCAGCGAUGAUGAGGCCCUGUUGGUCUGUUGACCGCUGGGCUCGCUGGUGACCGCCACAGCCCCGCUUUGUAACCAGGGAAUACACAGUCAUUUCU